GCAGAAAAAAACCCCCAGUAUGAACAGUAUAUAUAACAGUGAAAAUACAGCACUCAUUCCUUUGACGUCUGUACUUCUACCAUUGGUUGGUUGUCUAGCACAAAUCUCCAAGCCUGAUUUGGAUUCCUCGUCAGACUCAAAUCGUAAUAUCUAAUUAAAGGAAUUCUUGGUCAGGUUGUUCAAGAACAUUGCAAGAUCCACCAAGUCAAGUCUAUCAUACAUAAGCCUGGUAAAAACCAGCCCCUUGUUUUACACUUUAUUGCAUAACGAAGGUCACGUACUGACAAACGAUUGGUUGCUAAUCUUUGACUUUGACAUACUUAGCAUUCCAGCUCGACAGUGAAGAAAGCCACACUAUGAAGUUUACCAAAGGUUUUGUGCACUGUAAAUAAUCAUUCAAUAUCAACGCCAUCAAUAAAAUGUCUUAAACAUUCUUCUUGCUCGACCUUUAAUUACUCAACAUUUGGAUGCGUUGCAUCCAUCUUCCUCCGCUCCCAUUGCCAAACUAGAACCAUAGGCAAGCUACCAUCCUAGAAGAAGUGAAGAAAAUCUUUGUUCACUGAGUGGCCCGGUUGAAAUUCUACCAAAGAAAUUGAGGUAAAUAGGUGAAGUCCCAGACUGGACACUGAAGAGAGAUGAGAAUCAAGCGGAAUUAUGUUUGAAGGCAAUGGCCAGGCUAAUCAUACAUUACAAGAAUGUUUGGAGGAGUCAAGGUGAAACUUUUCAACCUAGAAGCGCUAAACUAUCUGCGCAGCGAGAGUGGAUGACAAAAUGAAGGAGGCCUCAAGUUCUUCAACUUAGUUCAAAUUAACAUCUGGAGAGUUUAAAAAAUAAAACUGUUUUUAGAAUGGAUAAAGCAAGCUAACAUUAAGCACCUGGAUAACCUCUGAGCUCUGACCUUAACUGUAUUGAAAAUUUUGUCUAUGUUUUAAAAUCCAGAUAAAUGUCAAAAAAGCAACCAAUUUAAUUGAGGCCCACUAUUUCUGAUGAGAAGAAUUUGUAAAAGUUUCCAGUUAAAAUUAUAUCAGAAGCAUGCUGGUGGCUACAAGAAAGUAGCCAAGUAGUAGCCGGUGGCUGCAACUUGCUGUGGGACAUCAAGAUAAGUAUUUGAUUCCAUGUGAAUUUUUGAUCAUGUAUGUAGAAUUUUUACCCAGUGUGCAUUAGAAAAAAACAAACAAUUUCAGAUUUCAUUAUAAGAUCACUAAAGACAAAGUGCUUAAGGGAAAAGAGUGCUAACUAUCUCUCUUAUUAAGCUAAUGCUGUAGGUCUGUUAAAGUAGCUGACUGCACAUAUGCAAACAGCCUGACUAAUAACUAAGCUAAAUAGCAAUUUGUUAUACUUAUGCUACUCAAUAGAAAUCAAAAUGGCUAACAGAUAUGAUAUUGCCCUGUAGGCAUGUGAAAGCACAACUUAAAUUAAUUUUAUAAUUCUCAAGCCUAUGUAUCAAAACCGUAAUGCAAUAGAAAACAUUACUUGAAGUGUAAUAAACAGUAUUAAUUUAGCAGCAAUAGAAAUAAUUGUAGCUUUUCUGUUCAUAUAAAAAUAAAUUAGGUCAUGUUGUGUGUUACAAAAAUCUAUUUUUUUAAAUGAAGAUGAUCAUAACUGAAGCAUUAAUCUAAGAGUGAGAUAUAAAAGAUGCAGCCUUAUGCCCUCACAUGGGAAUCACAUGGCUGGCAUGGGCAUCAAUGAAUGGGGAUCAUGUUAUUCUUUUCGUCACUGUUCUGAGAAACUCAAGGCCUGGAAGCGAAUCGGACUGGGACAGGUGGAGUUCUCACGUUUUCAGCCUCCUGAAUAUUUGAGGAGGCGAAGCUGCAUCCAAACCCCAAACUAUUUUAAGACAUUUGAUGAAGAAAACCCCUUCUCCGAUUUUUUCUCUCCACUUUUCCCAUUUCUCCGAACGACCGUAAUUUACGACCAUUGCAGACUAAGAGAGCCUUCCAGGGUGUGGACAGCCCCGUCCAGGCAGCCAUCCACGCGCGGGCAAGGUGCGCAGCCUCCCUGUCUGCUCCAGUCCAGCUAGCGAAAAUGCCGCCACUUCUGCUCAUUAAUACACGUCCGUUUAUUUCCACCCGUUUCAAGCUUCUUCUAAAUAAAAUGUCAUGGGGGGUCCUCCUGAGGAGAGCACGCUUCCCGCCUACCUACCGCAGGAUUAAAUGCUGAUUAGAUUAGCGCUUUCAGAUUAGCUGUUGAAUGAGGAGCAAAAAGGAGCCGGUGAUCUAAAGCAGCCAAAAAAUGGGAGCGGAGAAGAUAUAUUAAAUAACAGAACCAGGAUGUUAAAACGCUAGCUAAGCAAACAAAUAGGGUUUAAGGUAAGAAUUCAACACACGAAGAAGAAAAAUGUUAAUAAAAACGCCCAAUUUCUUCCUUAUUUUUAACCUAACAGCAAAGAAAUGUGGUCAGAAAAAGACAGUUUUUUUUUUAAAUUAAUAGUAAUAUAAAUAUAAGACAUCGUGAUGCCGUAUUUUUUAUCCACUCCGGCACAAUUUGUUCCGAAUUGGCAUAAAUUAGAGCUGCGCGCGCUUCUUGACAUCCAUGUGAGAUGUUUCAUCAUUCCCCGGCCUUCAGCUCCAUCCUGGUGCACUUGGCACCUCUCAGCCUCACACGCACACACACACACACA